rnacentral:misc_RNA from 1 species
AAAUCGGGAUUCCGGAUA